UGGAUGGAUGGAAUAACAAAAUUCAACUCACUACAUUGGACAUCCUGACCAGUGCUGUUUCAACUUUGUCCAUUUUAAAAUUCCAGAAAAAAUGAUCCAAAAAGUGGAAAAAGUACACUCCAGCUGCCCAAAGCAGGGCUAUGUGAUUACAACGAGUAGAGGCAGGAGCUGCAAGGAGGAAGUCUUACUAUACUAUACAAAGCAGGAGAAACCCAGGGUUAUAACACCUCGAGGCAAGUUGUGCAAGGAGAAAGACAAUCUAAUGCUCUCUAAUAAUACAUUUCAUUAUUUAAUAGUGGUAGUAAACUUGAAGAAUUCCAAUGGUCAUUUCAUGUUUCAAAGUUAAAUAUGGCCGUGUAAUGGACACAAGUUUCUUUUAAGUGCAAUAUUUAACAUUCUUUAACAUAAAACAAAGAGGUAAAGAGCUGAAAACUGCAACAAAAACAGUUCAUUAAUGGUCAAUAUUAAAUAUCAAGAUCAAAGCUUGGAAAAUCCUAAGGCUGAAUCUCAAACA